CCUACGGGCGGCUGCAGUGGGGAAUAUUGCACAAUGGGCGCAAGCCUGAUGCAGCCAUGCCGCGUGUGUGAAGAAGGCCUUCGGGUUGUAAAGCACUUUCAGCGGGGAGGAAGGCGGUGAGGUUAAUAACCUCAUCGAUUGACGUUACCCGCAGAAGAAGCACCGGCUAACUCCGUGCCAGCAGCCGCGGUAAUACGGAGGGUGCAAGCGUUACUCGGAAUUACUGGGCGUAAAGCGCACGCAGGCGGUCUGUCAAGUCGGAUGUGAAAUCCCCGGGCUCAACCUGGGAACUGCAUUCGAAACUGGCAGGCUAGAGUCUUGUAGAGGGGGGUAGAAUUCCAGGUGUAGCGGUGAAAUGCGUAGAGAUCUGGAGGAAUACCGGUGGCGAAGGCGGCCCCCUGGACAAAGACUGACGCUCAGGUGCGAAAGCGUGGGGAGCAAACAGGAGUAGAUACCCCAGUAGUC
rnacentral:rRNA from 1 species